rnacentral:rRNA from 11 species
CGAAAGCGAGUCUGAAUAGGGCGCCAUCUCUUUAUUGAGAUCUAGGAGUUUGAUGGAUUAGACCCGAAACCCGGCGAUCUAGUUAUGGGCAGGUUGAAGGUGCAGUAACAUGCACUGGAGGACCGAACCCACGCAUGUUGAAAAAUGCGGGGAUGACCUGUGACUAGGGGUGAAAGGCCAAUCAAGCCGGGAGAUAGCUGGUUCUCCGCGAAAUCUAUUUAGGUAGAGCG